rnacentral:rRNA from 1 species
ACGGACUCCUACGGGAGGCAGCAGUAGGGAAUCUUCCGCAAUGGACGAAAGUCUGACGGAGCAACGCCGCGUGAGUGAUGAAGGUUUUCGGAUCGUAAAGCUCUGUUGUUAGGGAAGAACAAGUACCGUUCGAAUAGGGCGGUACCUUGACGGUACCUAACCAGAAAGCCACGGCUAACUACGUGCCAGCAGCCGCGGUAAU